rnacentral:lncRNA from 1 species
CACUUCAUGCCCACGACACUGAGCACCAUGGCCACAAAGCCCAGGAGCACAGCCACGACCAUCAGGGCUCGUGCUGACUGGAUAUGACCUGAGGCAGGUUAAGAAAGCCUUCCUGUACCAGUGUUCCAAAGCCAUCUGGAAUUCAAGACCUACUCCUGAGGCUACAAGUUUCUUAGCCCAAGCAGCACAGCUUCUCCACCCUAGGGAACCCUCCAUUCUCCGUGGUUCUGCAGCCCAGUAACUCUCAGGCAUGCAUAGAGAGCUGAUGGCUCAGGGUCCCUAGCCCAGCCUCCCAUCAGAGCUGACGGGAACUGCCUGGGGUAGACACAAGUCACAGUUUAAAAGUAAAUAAAUCAAGUGCUUUCACUUCCGGA